rnacentral:rRNA from 1 species
GACGAACGCUGGCGGCGUGCCUAAUACAUGCAAGUCGAACGCACUCUCGUUUAGAUUGAAGGAGCUUGCUCCUGAUUGAUAAACAUUUGAGUGAGUGGCGGACGGGUGAGUAACACGUGGGUAACCUGCCCUAAAGUGGGGGAUAACAUUUGGAAACAGAUGCUAAUACCGCAUAAAACCUAAACACCGCAUGGUGUAGGGUUGAAAGAUGGUUUCGGCUAUCACUUUAGGAUGGACCCGCGGUGCAUUAGUUAGUUGGUGAGGUAAAGGCUCACCGAGACCGUGAUGCAUAGCCGACCUGAGAGGGUAAUCGGCCACACUGGGACUGAGACACGGCCCAGACUCCUACGGGAGGCAGCAGUAGGGAAUCUUCCACAAU